rnacentral:lncRNA from 1 species
UUGACGAAAGAUACUACAUAAUCUUAUCAUUUUAUCUGUGGAAUCCAUCUCUGUUCUUAUACGUGUGCUGUUUGGCCUUCCUUUCUUCUUUCUACGCAUCUCUUCAUUGUGCCAAACAAUAUAUCUCCUUCAUAUGGAGGCCAAUAAUCCUCCAUUGGUAGUACUGAAAAGCUUUGACUAUAUACAUUCAUGAUGGUGUUGGCCUUGUACACAUCAGAUAAAUGGGUGUAAGCGUCUUGACGAGUAUAAGCGCAUGCUGCA